AGCGAACGUUUGCGGCGGGCUUAACACAUGCAAGUCGAACGAGAACCUUUCCUUCGGGAUUGGGGACAGUGGCGCACGGGUGCGUAACACGUGGGUAAUCAACCCUUUGGACCGGGACAACCCGAGGAAACUCGGGCUAAUACCGGAUGUGGCAUGCGGAACCUCGGUUCUGCCUGCGAAAGUCCCGCAAGGGGCACCAGAGGACGAGCUCGCGGCCCAUCAGCUUGAUGGUGAGGUAAUGGCUCACCAUGGCGAAGACGGGUAGCUGGUCUGAGAGGAUGAUCAGCCACACUGGAACUGAGACACGGUCCAG
rnacentral:rRNA from 1 species